rnacentral:rRNA from 1 species
GAUGAACGCUGGCGGCGUGCCUAAUACAUGCAAGUCGAGCGAACGGACGAGAAGCUUGCUUCUCUGAUGUUAGCGGCGGACGGGUGAGUAACACGUGGAUAACCUACCUAUAAGACUGGGAUAACUUCGGGAAACCGGAGCUAAUACCGGAUAAUAUUUUGAACCGCAUGGUUCAAAAGUAAAAGACGGUCUUGCUGUCACUUAUAGAUGGAUCCGCGCUGCAUUAGCUAGUUGGUAAGGUAACGGCUUACCAAGGCAACGAUGCAUAGCCGACCUGAGAGGGUGAUCGGCCACACUGGAACUGAGACACGGUCCAGACUCCUACGGGAGGCAGCAGUAGGGAAUCUUCCGCAAUGGGCGAAAGCCUGACGGAGCAACGCCGCGUGAGUGAUGAAGGUCUUCCGAUCGUAAAACUCUGUUAUUAGGGAAGAAUAUAUGUGUAAGUAACUGUGCACAUCUUGACGGUACCUAAUCAGAAAGCCACGACUAACUACGUGCCAGCAGCCGCGGUAAUACGUAGGUGGCAAGCGUUAUCCGGAAUUAUUGGGCGUAAAGCGCGCGUAGGCGGUUUUUUAGUCUGAUGUGAAAGCCCACGGCUCAACCGUGGAGGGUCAUUGGAAACUGGAAAACUUGAGUGCAGAAGAGGAAAGUGGAAUUCCAUGUGUAGCGGUGAAAUGCGCAGAGAUAUGGAGGAACACCAGUGGCGAAGGCGACUUUCUGGUCUGUAACUGACGCUGAUGUGCGAAAGCGUGGGGAUCAAACAGGAUUAGAUACCCUGGUAGUCCACGCCGUAAACGAUGAGUGCUAAGUGUUAGGGGGUUUCCGCCCCUUAGUGCUGCAGCUAACGCAUUAAGCACUCCGCCUGGGGAGUACGACCGCAAGGUUGAAACUCAAAGGAAUUGACGGGGACCCGCACAAGCGGUGGAGCAUGUGGUUUAAUUCGAAGCAACGCGAAGAACCUUACCAAAUCUUGACAUCCUUUGACAACUCUAGAGAUAGAGCCUUCCCCUUCGGGGGACAAAGUGACAGGUGGUGCAUGGUUGUCGUCAGCUCGUGUCGUGAGAUGUUGGGUUAAGUCCCGCAACGAGCGCAACCCUUAAGCUUAGUUGCCAUCAUUAAGUUGGGCACUCUAAGUUGACUGCCGGUGACAAACCGGAGGAAGGUGGGGAUGACGUCAAAUCAUCAUGCCCCUUAUGAUUUGGGCUACACACGUGCUACAAUGGACAAUACAAAGGGCAGCGAAACCGCGAGGUCAAGCAAAUCCCAUAAAGUUGUUCUCAGUUCGGAUUGUAGUCUGCAACUCGACUACAUGAAGCUGGAAUCGCUAGUAAUCGUAGAUCAGCAUGCUACGGUGAAUACGUUCCCGGGUCU